CUGCUCUUGGCUACAGGUACCCUUUGUGAUGUCAGCUUCAAUUUUCCACUGACCAGCUCUGCAUGCGAUUCCACAGGAGGCAAAUGUUCUGGUUCUGGGCCACUUACUUACAAAUACAGGAGGUUCAUCAGAUGGCAACUGCUUGGGUUUGGGCAUAUAAAGGCUGAUGCAAAGUGAGAUUGAAUGCCAUGGAGCAUGAGGAAGAGAGAAGAGGGCUGAAAACCUCUUGAUAGCAGAUUUAGCUAGUAAAGCAUUGAAGAUCACAGAGAACAGAAAAAGAUCUGCCUCUAUUCAAAAUUCAGAUCUACUGGUUACUGAAGGAGGACUCAGAAAACAAAGAAGAUCCCAGACCACCUGGAUCCAGUAGAUUCUGAAGCCAGCCAGAUGUUAGACUUCUCAGUUAGCUGCUGCUGUAGAGGCUGUGACCAAGGAAGAAUUGUAGGAAGAAUGGACUACACACGAGCUCCUGAGUUCACUGCUAUUCAGCCUGACAUUGCAGACUGGUCUGAGGGUGCAUAGGUGCCCUCUGUGCCCAUUCAGCAGUCCCCUGCCAAAGACACCAUGCCCAGCCGGCCACAAAAGACUGCUCUAUGGCCCCCACUGCUCAGGCCACUGAGUGAGCAGUAAUCACCGCUGAGGCAUCUCCAACUGUUCUGCAGACAGGUAAGCAAAAUAGAAAUGAGGCUGAUGGAAAAUAAAGUGCCAGUUUCUAAAAAAAAAAGGAAGAAAAUAACCCACAUUUUCAAAAUAUCGUAGAGAUUUUAGAUAUAAACA
rnacentral:lncRNA from 1 species